UACAGUGUGCAGUUCUGGUUUCCCAUGUUUAAGAAGGAUGAAUUCAAACUGGAAUAGGUUCAGAGAAGGGCUACUAGGGUGAUCCGAGGAAUAGAAAACCUGUAUUAUGAAAGGAGACACAGGCCA